ACACUUGGGCCCUCUUCCCAAAAUAUCUCGUAUACAUGAGAAUAUUCUAAAAUCUGAAACACUUUAUUUGCAUCUCUUUCAAAUAAGAGAUACUCAACUUGUGUUUGGAAAAAAAAAGAAAAGAAAAAGGUCUGGGGUUGUGGCUCAGUGGUAGAGCGCUUACCCAGCAUGUGUGAGGCACUGGGUUUGAUGCUCAGCGCCGCACAUAAAUAAAUAAAAUAAAGGUCUAUGGACAACUAAAAAUAUAUAUAUUAAAAAAAGAAAGAAAGAAAAGAAAAUCUUCCUCCCGCAUCAUGACCAUUCCCUAGCGACUGCAAACUCCACCCUGGUAUCCCUGCUCCCCACCUUGUGGCCGGCUAGAUGUCCAAGAGCAGGGCUGGGCCUCUGAUGACUGCCACCUGCGAAGGACCUUCCAACAAGAAUCAUAAGGUGGGGAGCUCUCAAACAUGGGGAGGGGGUCCUGACACCAAGCAGCCAGCAGAAGACCCAGCAGGCCCUUGCUUAACAGCUAUGGACUCCUGCAGGAAUGAAAAGCCCAGGGAGGUGCAAGCAGGGUCAGUGAGGCCAGUGGGUCAUCAAAAGCUGCAGCAGAAAUGGCCAGUUUGCUAAGCCCACUGAGGGGAC
rnacentral:lncRNA from 1 species